UCUGCACUCCUCCCCUUCGUCUUAUCCAUUCUGUCCUGCGCCGGCGACUUCGCCCAACCCGUCGUGCGCCAGCGGCCGCCGUGCCUCGCGCGGAAGGAUGGAGGGCGCUCGCCGUGAGGAUGGACGGCGCGGAGAGGCGCGCUCGCGCCCGAGCUCCUGUGCCCAUGCCUCGCGCCUCCUUGCACCGCUCCGGCAGCCCCUCGCCAUCCGCCGUCGUGGGCGACCACCAGCAGCGCCCGUCGCGCCUCUCCGCGCGCCACUCGAAGGCCCCAGCCAGGCCGCGCAGCCGUCCUCCUCCUCGACCUCGCCUCUCCGUGCGACAACCGGCGCCGCCGCCGGCGGCCACGGGUCCAGCGCCGCCUUCGUCCUCCACCUUCUCCUAAAGCGCACGUCCGCCGCGGGCGCUGGCGGUGGCGCGGCGGUCCUUGCCCUCGAUCUCACCGAGGAAGGCGUCCUUGCCGAGCAGCUCGACGAGAGCGCUGCCAAUGUCACUGAACUGAAUCGCCAGCCAUCUCAGCCCACGUCUUUCAGCACGCAACCGGCGAACCCAUUCAGCAGCUCCUGGGCAAACAGCUUUGACCCCUGUUAACACGUUAUGAGGAUCCAUGGCCUCUUCUUCUAUUUCUUCAGUGCUACCAUCUUGAAACCGGUGCAGUUUCUGCUGCAUCUUCCUGACACUGGUCCUCAACUAGCUUAUUUUGCUCUUCUUUCUGAAGAUCCAUGGCCUACUUUUCCAAUUGUUGAGUGGGUACAGAAGUCUUCAUAUCAUCACCUAAUUGAUUGCAAACAAAAUUCUCAUCACUUUCAGAUACGACAGUCAAGACACAUAAUGCGGGACACUGCAACUACAGAAAGGCAUGGAACACGCACGGAUUUAAGUCCAUGUCAGGGGCAUCACCUGUCUCAUGUUCGCAGGAGGAAGAAGCUCCAAGUUUGCCGGAGGUACACAAACAUCCAUUGAGCACUCCAAUGUCGCGGCGUCUACACCAGAGGUGCCAAAGGUGUCUCAGGUGGAGGCGAAGGAGGUUCUUCUAAUUCCUAAGGCACCAGACUGGACAUUCCUAUGUUGACUACCAUUUAUGGUCAAUAAAGUUGUCCGUGUUUGUUUUUGAUUGCUCAACUAAAUAUCUGAAGUCCAAUGAUAAACAAUAAUUAUCCAGAAGUAGCCUAAUUAUAUGUAUUUGUGUUCGCACAUAUACAUCGUAACUAUGCUAAGGGGUAUUUAUAUGAACUUGGUUCAGGGCCAACAAUACCAGCUGUAGUGCUGAAACAAGCACGAUUCCAUCAUUUGUUACCGGUUCCUUUUUCUCGAUAGCAGGCUCUUUUUGUUGGAUGUGGUAUAAUUAUAUGCCGACAGAUAUUGACAGGUGUAUAAUGUAGUAUAUAUUCCUAAUUCCUCCAAUGUCUUAAUAGCAUGAAGAAUGUAGCACUUCAGGUCCUCAUCAAGUAAGGUUUCCAUUUAAGCAUGGUGUCCAUGCAUGCUAUUGUUAACUUUGCUGACAAUGGCAGCUUAGUGAUCACCAUGUUUGUUAAAUUUAAUUUUCACCUCCGUGUAAUGUAUCAUAGUACUAUGCACAAAGAUACUUCAACACUAAAGCUCGCACCUAACUUGCUCGGGUCUCGGCUCAUGAUUCUUUCAACUUUCAUGUAGUGCUGCUGAAAUAUUAUGUAACACUCAAAUUUGAUGAUAUUUUUAAUGGGCACAACUGUGCCGGUAGAGGUUGACAGUUAAUGAAUUUUGUGAUAAUCUUCGGUUAUACUGUUAUAUAUAGCACUUUGCUGGUUAUAUGGUUCACAUUCUCUGAGCCAAUUCACAAUGACCAUUCCUGAUUUGGGCAUUAUGUUUUUAAAUCAUUUUGUAACAUUUUGGUUGAUUUUUUAUGCUGCUCCUUAAUUUUUUUCAUUGACUGGUGUUGAACUAAAUGAGUGUUGCCAUUCACAGGAUGCCCAGUACAACCGAAGAUGGGUUCCCGAUUGUUCCUAGAUAUUUCAGAGCAACUAGAGUGGUCUUACCUGACAAGCUCCAAUGUUGUGCUGAAGUAUUUUGAACAAGCUUGUCCUUUGCCUUAUGCUGGAACAAGGCACCUUCUAUUCCCCAUGGGCACCAAGAAUGCGAAAACAUUGAUGAUUCGAGCAAAUGUAAGUUCAGGCUUCAAGAUUGAGCCGAGCGCCCUACCAGCAGAUCUGGAUAAUGCAUACAAGAAUGAGAAAGCAUAUCAGCGAUUGGAUAUUUCUAGCCCUACAGUUAACCCUUUUGUUUUUUCCUGUACGGCGAGGGCGAGAUAAAAGAUAUGCUUUCUGUUUGUGCUGACCAUGGAGCUUGGGUAGUGAUAGACACCUUCUCUGGUCUGGAGUUCCACAACAGAGAUGGCUGGAUUUUGCGGAACGGGUAAUUUUUUUAUUAUAGCAUUUGCUUAUAUGACCUUUCCUUGGUCAAACAUAUUUCACAAGUAAUUUGUUUUCUUCAAAAAGGAGGAUAUUUUCACAAGCCCAAACCGACCACAUAGCACUUUGAAAUGCACUUAUAGGAAGUUGUUGGUUUUGAAAAACAAGAGGGAUCAACAUUUCUCUAAUCUCAUCACGCCAACAAACUGACGAAGACACUCGAGAGCUGUGGUUGGGAUGUCGCCAGGUACCACUGUGACACGCGUACAUCGGCAAAUCGUUCAGGGUGGAUGAUUUUGAAGGCGAGCUCGACGGCUGCAAUAUCAGGGAAGCCCUCCUGAACUACUGCAGGUUCAGCUUACCGUGUAGUAUUUUCUUUACAACAAGGCCUCACACGAGCAAAACUGUCAUCUUGUUGUUUAGUUUUGGCCCGGGACUGCAAUUUUUUCCCUUAUUGCAUUCUUUAGUGCAUAAAAUAAAAUAUAUAAUGUGCAUAAAAGCCGAAAACAACCAUUACGAUCAUAGUAGGCGAACUGAAAUUGUAGGGAUAUAAAGCAGUACCUGAACAUACAAAAGCUGGCCACAACUCUGUCUUCAAUUCCAUCUUGUUUCCAGAUUUCAGGAGUAGCAUCACCACCAUCACAGAUCAGGCUCUUUGUCAGUGCAAAUAACAGACUAACACCACAAGGACUUCAUUAACCUUAGCCACUUCUUAUGGGUACAUGAGAACUAAAAGAAUUCAUCUGUUAAAAUUUGUUUUUUUGACUUUUUGGACUAAUUCAUGUGCAGAAUUUAUAUUUUCAAUUAGAAUGAUUUAUUGUAGUUUUAUCAACGACUAUAGUAUAUUAAGAUGUGGGCACUAUAUCGAAAGUGUUGUUCUACACCCGAGGUCAUGUGAGCUUGGUUGAACAGUAAAAUAAAUAAAAAAUGGAAAAACAAUUCAAAAAAUGUGAUUUCUUUCCGUGUGAGACACUGAAAAAAUGUUUAUUAGCUUGCAAAAUUUCAAUACUAUCUUUCUUGACUGAUUGUUUGUGGUCUGCCAUGAGCCCAUGACGUAGCCAUCUGCAUCUGCCUCGCCUUGAGGCCACAACAGCACCCCUGCCCUUCUGCUCCUGCUGGCGACCGCAACCCUCUGGCGGCAGCAACACCGCUCUUGUGUGCUGGCCUUGCUGUCUCAUCUCCUCUCUCUCUCAUGUUUGGGUAUGAUGUUAGCGUUAUGUGUGUGUGGAUGGAUAUGAUGCUACCAUGGUGUGUGUAAAAAUCUAUUUUUGGUUUAUUUCUCUUUGGAGUAUUGCUGUUGGAGAUGA